rnacentral:rRNA from 1 species
CUGGCGGCGUGCCUAACACAUGCAAGUCGAACGGAAUUGGAGAGCUUGCUUUUCAAUUUAGUGGCGCACGGGUGAGUAACGCGUAGAUAAUCUACCUGAUGAUCCGGGAUAACACUUCGAAAGAGGUGCUAAUACCUGAUAAGCCCACGGAGUCUUUGGACUCUGCGGGAAAAGGGGGGGACCUUCGGGCCUUCCGUCAUCAGAUGAGUCUGCGUACCAUUAGCUAGUUGGUGGUGUAAUCGACCACCAAGGCUACGAUGGUUAGCUGGUCUGAGAGGAUGAUCAGCCACUCUGGAACUGAGACACGGCCCAGACUCCUACGGGGAGGCAGCAGUGGGGAAUUUUGCGCAAUGGGCGAAAACCUGACGCAUCAACACCGCGUGAGUGAUGAAGGCUUUCCGGUCCUUAAGCUCGUCCAAGGG